rnacentral:lncRNA from 1 species
CAACAAUUUUGGACAGAACAGUCAGGUUGAUCUACUCGUCACAUGUAGCACAUUCUGUUACAACCUUUGUCCAAUCUUUUUCGCUUUCGAUUCAUUAAAAAAACUCAUCAUAGAUACCAGGAUUAAAUUUUGUAUUUAAGCCAGACGCGCGUUUCGUUUAUAAAAGACUAAUUAGUGACGCUCGAAUUCAAAAAAAUUAAAAAGGCCAAAUAAAAUACGAAUUUGAAGAGCAUUAAGAACCAAAAUUCCUAGAAGUUUUGCGAAAUACAGGUAAUAUAAUCCUGAGGUAGAAAAGCCUUAG